GCGUCGGUGGUGUAGUGGCAGCACGCACCCCUGGUAUGGGUGAAACCUUGGAUCAACUCCCGCUUGAGGUC